UACGAAGGGGGCUAGCGUUGCUCGGAAUUACUGGGCGUAAAGCGCGCGUAGGCGGCUUCUUAAGUCGGAGGUGAAAUCCUGGAGCUCAACUCCAGAACUGCCUUCGAUACUGGGAAGCUCGAGUCCGGGAGAGGUGAGUGGAACUGCGAGUGUAGAGGUGAAAUUCGUAGAUAUUCGCAAGAACACCAGUGGCGAAGGCGGCUCACUGGCCCGGUACUGACGCUGAGGUGCGAAAGCGUGGGGAGCAAACAGG
rnacentral:rRNA from 1 species